rnacentral:rRNA from 15 species
AGCUACGGCCAUACAUAGAUGAAAAUACCGGAUCCCGUCCGAUCUCCGAAGUCAAGCAUCUAAUGGCGACGUCAGUACUGUGAUGGGGGACCGCACGGGAAUACGUCGUGCUGUAGUU